AGAGUUUGAUCCUGGCUCAGAUUGAACGCUGGCGGCAGGCCUAACACAUGCAAGUCGAACGGUAGCACAGAGAGCUUGCUCUCGGGUGACGAGUGGCGGACGGGUGAGUAAUGUCUGGGAAACUGCCUGAUGGAGGGGGAUAACUACUGGAAACGGUAGCUAAUACCGCAUAAUGUCGCAAGACCAAAGAGGGGGACCUUCGGGCCUCUUGCCAUCGGAUGUGCCCAGAUGGGAUUAGCUUGUUGGUGAGGUAACGGCUCACCAAGGCGACGAUCCCUAGCUGGUCUGAGAGGAUGACCAGCCACACUGGAACUGAGACACGGUCCAGACUCCUACGGGAGGCAGCAGUGGGGAAUAUUGCACAAUGGGCGCAAGCCUGAUGCAGCCAUGCCGCGUGUAUGAAGAAGGCCUUCGGGUUGUAAAGUACUUUCAGCGAGGAGGAAGGCGGUAAGGUUAAUAACCUUAUCGAUUGACGUUACUCGCAGAAGAAGCACCGGCUAACUCCGUGCCAGCAGCCGCGGUAAUACGGAGGGUGCAAGCGUUAAUCGGAAUUACUGGGCGUAAAGCGCACGCAGGCGGUCUGUCAAGUCGGAUGUGAAAUCCCCGGGCUCAACCUGGGAACUGCAUUCGAAACUGGCAGGCUAGAGUCUUGUAGAGGGGGGGUAGAUUUCCAGGUGUAGCGGUGAAAUGCCGUAUAGAUCUAGAUGAAUACCUGGUGGGCGAACGCAGGCCCUCCUGGACAAAGACUGACGCUCAGUGCGAAAGCGUGGCGUAGCCAAACAGGAUUAGAUGACCCUGAUAGUUCCACGCCGUAAACGAUGUCGAACCUUGUACGUCGUGCCCUUGAAUGCGUGACUUCAGAGCUAUCGCUGUAGUUCGACUGCCUGAGCGAUACGACUGCAAGCUUGAACUCAUAUGCAAUUGAACCGGAGGCCC
rnacentral:rRNA from 1 species